rnacentral:rRNA from 1 species
UACGUAGGGGGCUAGCGUUGUCCGGAUUUAUUGGGCGUAAAGAGCGUGUAGGCGGCCAGGCAGGUCUGCUGUGAAAACUCGAGGCUCAACCUCGAGACGUCGGCGGAAACCAUCUGGCUAGAGUCCGGAAGAGGAGAGUGGAAUUCCUGGUGUAGCGGUGAAAUGCGUAGAUAUCAGGAGGAACACCGGUGGCGAAGGCGUCCAUCUGGCCCGAUACUGACGCUGAGGCGCGAAAGCUAGGGGAGCGAACGGG